rnacentral:rRNA from 1 species
AUUGAACGCUGGCGGCAGGCUUAACACAUGCAAGUCGAACGGUAACAGGGUGCUUGCACCGCUGACGAGUGGCGAACGGGUGAGUAAUGCGUCGGAACGUGCCGAGUAGUGGGGGAUAACGCAGCGAAAGUUGUGCUAAUACCGCAUACGUACUGAGGUAGAAAGUGGGGGACCUUCGGGCCUCACGCUAUUCGAGCGGCCGACGUCUGAUUAGCUAGUAGGUGAGGUAAAGGCUCACCUAGGCGACGAUCAGUAGCGGGUCUGAGCGGAUGCUCCGCCACCCUGGGACUGAGACACGGCCCAGACUCCUACGGGAGGCAGCAGUGGGGAAUUUUGGACAAUGGGCGAAAGCCUGAUCCAGCCAUGCCGCGUGUCUGAAGAAGGCCUUCGGGUUGUAAAGGACUUUUGUCAGGGAGGAAAUCCCUAGUGCUAAUAACACUGGGGGAUGACAGUACCUGAAGAAUAAGCACCGGCUAACUACGUGCCAGCCGCCGCGGUAA